AAGAUGAUUGACCUCAGCGCCUUCAGCCGCAAGCCCCGGACGCUCCGGCAUCUGCCCCGAACCCCGAGACCGGAGCUGGACGUGGCCCCGUAUGACCCUCACUUCCCGGCCCCGGCCCCGGCCCGGGAUGGCUUCCCCGAGCCCAGCAUGGCGCUGCCUGGGCCAGAGGCCUUGCCCACAGAGUGUGGGUUCGAGCCACCCCACCUGGCCCCGCUGAGUGACCCCGAGGCCCCCAGCAUGGAGUCCCCGGAGCCUGUCAAGCCGGAACAGGGCUUCGUGUGGCAGGAGGCCGGCGAGUUCGAGGCUGACGUGGCGGGUUCGACCGUGGAACGCCACAAGAAGGCCCAGCUGGAUCGGCUGGACAUCAACGUGCAGAUCGACGACUCCUACCUGGUGGAGGCAGGCGACCGCCAGAAGCGCUGGCAGUGCCGCAUGUGCGAGAAGUCCUACACGUCCAAGUACAACCUGGUGACGCACAUCCUGGGCCACAACGGCAUCAAGCCACACUCGUGCCCACACUGCAGCAAGCUCUUCAAGCAGCCCAGCCACCUGCAGACGCACCUGCUGACGCACCAGGGCACCCGGCCCCACAAGUGCCAGGUAUGCCACAAGGCCUUCACGCAGACCAGCCACCUCAAGCGCCACAUGCUGCUGCACUCGGAGGUCAAGCCCUACAGCUGCCACUUCUGUGGCCGCGGUUUCGCCUACCCCAGCGAGCUCAAGGCCCACGAAGUGAAGCACGAGAGUGGCCGCUGCCACGUCUGCGUCGAGUGCGGCCUGGACUUCUCCACCCUGACCCAGCUCAAGCGCCACCUGGCCUCUCAUCAGGGCCCCACCCUCUACCAGUGCCUCGAGUGUGACAAGUCCUUCCACUACCGCAGCCAGUUGCAGAACCACAUGCUCAAGCACCAGAACGUGCGGCCCUUCGUGUGCACUGAAUGCGGCAUGGAGUUCAGCCAGAUCCACCACCUCAAGCAGCACUCCCUCACCCACAAGGUAAGGCCAUCCCCAGGG